AGACUUUCUCAGCAGGGUGAAAUUAGACCCGGGAGAAUGGAGUCUAUCAGACAUAAUAUUUCUGCAGAUCGUAGAAAAAUGGGGCCUUCCCCAGAUAGAUCUAAUGGCUACAAGCAACAACAGAAAAGUCAAGAACUUCUUUUCGAGAAUUCCAGAUCCCCAGGCCAUAGGAAGAGACGCAUUGACAUGCAGUUGGAACUUCGACCUGGCUUAUGCCUUUCC